UUUCACCUGGUGAAGACGAAAACCUCACUCCCUCCAUCAAAAUAUUCAAUUCCCUCUUUUCUUUUCCCUCCAGUGAAAAACCUAGCUUCCCUCCCCGUUGAAAAUUGAAAUCCAGCGCCUUUUCUAUUCCCUCAGUUGAAAAUUCAUUCCCCCUCCUUAUAGUUAAAAUCAUAUUUUAAUUGAAUAAUUUUCCUGCUUCCCUCGUCUUCAAUCGAUUUCAAGCAAACCUAAUUUCACCCUAACUAGUCGAAAUUCAGGUACGUGUAUCACCUUUAGUCGGGUUUUUCGGCAUCUAAUAACCUUCGGUUGAUCUCAGUUCGCCGAAUAUUAACCUUCAACUGAUUUUAGUCUGUGCCUACAGGUUCAAUUGACAAUAUCCAUUUAGCUUUUUCAUCUUUUACAGGAAAGAAACCAUCGAUCUUCUUGCCGCGUGUUUCUCUUCUUGCUGCGUUUUUUCUCUCUUGUGAUUUUCUCGAUCAAGAGUUAUCUUCAUCAUCAGCAGGUAACCUCUAUCAUUGCUAAGAAAGAGCUAAUACAAGAAUCAAUUUACUCGCAUGAAGAAUGUGAAAGAGGUCCAUAAGCUUAAUGAUGUCUCAAAUUUUCAUUCAAACAUUUUUUAGGCUUGAUUUUUUUUAGUAUUUGAUAUUUACACUUAAUUUGAUACUUAUUAGAUGCUUGUUACCAAACAUUUGGGAUAUCUUUGUAGGUCCAUUGAACUUAAAUUAUUAUGAUUUCUGCAUUUUAUAUACUUUUAUUUUAAUUUUA